rnacentral:rRNA from 1 species
GUCUAUAGCCAUGCCACCCUGAACGUUCCCAAUCUUGUCUGACCUUGGAAGCUAAGCAGGGUCGGGCCUGGUUAAUACUUGGAUGAGAGACCACCAAGGAAUACCAGGUACUGUAGAUG